rnacentral:rRNA from 1 species
UGGGGAAUAUUGGACAAUGGGCGCGAGCCUGAUCCAGCCAUGCCGCGUGAGUGAUGAAGGCCUUAGGGUUGUAAAGCUCUUUCGCCGGUGAAGAUAAUGACGGUAACCGGAGAAGAAGCCCCGGCUAACUUCGUGCCAGCAGCCGCGGUAAUACGAAGGGGGCUAGCGUUGCUCGGAAUUACUGGGCGUAAAGCGCACGUAGGCGGUUUCUUAAGUCGGGGGUGAAGUCCUGGAGCUCAACUCCAGAACUGCCUUCGAUACUGGGAAACUUGAGUUCGGGAGAGGUGAGUGGAACUGCGAGUGUAGAGGUGAAAUUCGUAGAUAUUCGCAAGAACACCAGUGGCGAAGGCGGCUCACUGGCCCGAUACUGACGCUGAGGUGCGAAAGCGUGGGGAGCAAAC